AAACAAUACAAUUUGGAAAUUCGGCACUAAAUUGUUAUUUUGACUUCAAAGAUGAGGAUAGUUAUCUAUGUCUGCCCUUGUAGAAACUGAACAUAGAGUUAUAACUGAAGUAGAACAGUUACUUAUUCUAUUCUGACACUAAAUUAUGUAAAAAGCAAAGCUCUUGGCACUAUAGGUUUUAUUAUAUAAAAAUAGAGGCUCGAAGUGAGUUUAUAAGUUUAGCAUAUACUGCUGGCAUAGAAAAGAAUUAGCAUUAACAUCAUGUCUGUACUCUGUAGCGAGUUUACUUGUUUAGAAUAACUUCAUCAUUUUCUUUCCUUCUGAGUUGAAUUUUGCUGCUAG
rnacentral:misc_RNA from 1 species